UGCCCGGUAGCCAAGCGGUAAGGCAGGGGCCUUUGAAGCCUCGAUUCGCAGGUUCGAAUCCUGCCCGGGCAACCA
rnacentral:tRNA from 1 species